rnacentral:lncRNA from 1 species
CCAGCUCUUCUUUGUAUGUCUGUUAGAAUUUGGCUGUGAAUUCACCUGAUCUGGGCCUUUUAUGACAUCUUCUGUAACCAGAAGCACUCCAAGAACAACACUUUCAUUCAUGGACUUAACAACUACAUUAGAUCAUACCAGCCUGUCACUUCAAAGUCACCAGUGUCAAGGAACAUUUCAAAUGGGCUUAAAGCAUUGUUUUGGAAGUGUGAAUAAUGAAGCCAAGGACAUUAGCAACAUCAUGAAAGCAGGCGUCAAGUGAAUAGAGAAGAUUCUAUGGAUGUAGAAGAGGUCCCUGGGUUUCCGAAUUGCCACUGGAUUGCCUCUAUCAAAUACGCAAGAGUUUCAUGAGUGAGAAAUAACCUUCUGCUGCUUUAAAUCUUGGGUUGUGCAAUACAUCAGUGAGCCUACCAUGACCAAUACAUUCUAUGGAUGCAGAUUUCUCUUCUCUGGCCGUUGACAUGAGUGUGCUUUCUGGAUGCAGUCACAGGGGACCCAAGAUUCUUGGACAGAAUUCUCGCCGGGAGCCAACUCAGCCUGAUCUGCUGGCAUCUCUCAAGUAUCAGAAGUCAACAAAAUGGUUUGCCUUGAAGACUUGGCCAGAGCAGCAGCCAAACCUUGAAGGGCAAUAUCCUUACCAACAUGUGAUCUGAAGGAGCUCUGAACCCUCCAGUGAGACAUCAGCCCAUCAGACUCACAGAGAACAGCAGGAAGGCCAAAGACUCAAGAUUUAUCUAUCCUUGAAGUGAGAAAAAUUCCUUGUUAUUCAGUGAUGCUGAUUACAAUAGGCUUCCGUUAUACGAAGGGAAAACAUCCCAGACCCCCAGUGAAUGCCUGAAACUGGAUGCUACUGAACCCUGAGACGGUACUAAGUGACUAACGGGUGAAUAGCGUGUACAGCAUGGAUACACUAGACAAAGGGAGGAUUCACAUCUUGGGCUGGUCAGCAAGAGGUUUCAUCACCCCACUCAAAACGGCAGGACCGUAUGAACCUGAAUCCAGAGAAAUGGCUCAUCAGUCUCCAAUCCUCUGAUUUUCUAAACCAGGACUACAUUAUAUUAAAACCAGAAAAAGCAAUACCUCUUUUCACAGAAUGGACUUUCUGGUGGAAAUGGGAGGAACCAAAAGAAGGCUGACUUCUUCAUUUUGACACCCUGCCCUGACUGCAGAACGUGAUUUCCCUAAAAGACUGAAUGUUAACCUCAAAGGCUGAUCAACCAACAUGCAGGAGAAAUCUUGACCAAGGCUCUGAGCAUGCUGUGGUCCCAAUGGUGAGGGUGUGAUAUGCACUGUCUGUUCCUGGAGUCACAGUGCUCAUCUUGUGGUAAAGACCUCUUGGAAGAAUGUCUUCAAAGGCACAUCUCCAGCUGGGAGUCC